CCCAGACUCCUACGGGAGGCAGCAGUGGGGGAUAUUGCACAAUGGGGGGAAACCCUGAUGCAGCGACGCCGCGUGAGCGAUGAGGUAUUUCGGUAUGUAAAGCUCUAUCAGCAGGGAAGAAGAUGACGGUACCUGACUAAGAAGCCCCGGCUAACUACGUGCCAGCAGCCGCGGUAAUAAGUAGGGGGCAAGCGUUAUCCGGAUUUACUGGGUGUAAAGGGAGCGUAGACGGCGAUGCAAGCCAGAUGUGAAAGCCCGGGGCUCAACCCCGGGACUGCAUUUGGAACUGUGUGGCUGGAGUGUCGGAGAGGCAGGCGGAAUUCCUAGUGUAGCGGUGAAAUGCGUAGAUAUUAGGAGGAACACCAGUGGCGAAGGCGGCCUGCUGGACGAUGACUGACGUUGAGGCUCGAAAGCGUGGGGAGCAAACAGGAUUAGAUACCCUAGUAGAU
rnacentral:rRNA from 1 species